AGCGUUGAAACACCUGUUCCUAAACGAUCACUGAAGUUAAGCAACGUCGAGCCUGGUCAGUUCCUAGAUGGGUGAACGCUUGGAAAUAGCAGGUGCUGUAAG